UUAUAAAAUAUUUAACACAAAACAAGAUACAGUUUUUAUAUUACUUUUGUACGAUAAAUUUUUGUACAGGAAGAAGAAUCUUAUAAUAAAAGUACGUUUAGUUAUACUUAAAAAAAUUUAAGUUACCCAAUAGCGCUUUAAAUUCUUUUUCUGUACCCAUUCAUCAUUAUAUACGAUUUGUCACGUAUACGAUAAAAUUAGCAUACAAUUUUUGAAAAAUAAAUAAAAAAUUUAAUUUUUAAUUCUCUGUGAAUUUUCAGUCGAUUAAAUUCUUUCAAUAAACACAAACAGUUCUCGCUUUCUCUUUAUCUUAGAAGAAAGAGCUGUUUCUGGCGUCGACAAUGCGAGGGUAGAAUUUUACGCAAGAAGGGCGAGAUGAAAGUGUAAAAGCAGUUAUUUAAGAAAUAAAACAUAUUUGUGCUAUGAGUAAGAAAAAAGGAAAGCAAGAAUUGUUGGUGUUUAAUCAAUAAAUUUAAUCGACAGAAGAUUUACAAAGAAUAUAAUUGGACAUAUAUUCACGUGCCUAAAUUUGUAUAUGAUCAUCAUUAAUACAUAUCGCGCAAUGUUUAAUAAACGUAGAAUUAUUUAAUAGUUCGAAUGCUUCUUCUAGCACGAUUGUUAUAUUUUGAAAAAUAUAUUACAAAUUUCAGAGAGGAGUAAGAUACAUAUAUUAUAUAGCAUUUUGAACAAAAACGUUAUGAUCAACGAAAGCGUUAUUAAUUAUCAUUUAAAAACCGGAAAUGUUGAACAAAAUACGUUGGACUUUCAUUGGUAUUUAUUGUUGAAGAUUACUUAAGACUUCGAAUGAAAAAGAAAUGAGAAAACAAACUUCUUGAAAGUCGAUCGCUCAAUGUCGUCGCGUGCUUUUUAUCGAUAUAAUAGCGAUUUGUUUUGCAACAGUUUUUUAAAAUUAUUGACUCCGUCUUACAAUUGUUUGCGGUAAUACUUAAUUUUUUCGUACAACCGGUGUUUGCAACCAUAAAUUUAUAUCGAUAAAAAUUUAAGUCGUUUUUUAUUAUACACUAAAUAUAACCACAAAAAAUUGUCGAAACGUUCGAAAAUUGAAUAAAAAGUAAAUUUGUUUUCCGCACCGAUUUCUGUAUGUAUAAUGUAUAACUUUCCAUUAUGAUUUUAACUGGCAAUCUCCCUUUAUUCUACAGAAACGCGUUAUAUGAAAAAAGAUAUUACGGAAAUGAUCUUUAUAAAAAUGCAGAAAGGCUCCAUGAAUUAUUUACAGAAAGACACAGACAAUUUGAAUUCAAUAUACAAUUUGACUUUUAAUAUCAUAUACACUUCCUCCGAAACAGAGUAUACCUCUCUAGGUCACCGUUAUUGUUUUGCUACCAACACGGAAAGUUAGUACGUAUUGAAUCCUCGAUCGACACACAUCGUCUCUCGACUCACCACACGUCUUAAUUUUGACGUAUUUGUGUAAUAAAUUAAAGUUCUGUGGUGUAUUUAAGUUGACUAACUUUCUCUACAGAUAUGAGCAUCUUUCACUUGAACGGGUUUCUCUUAGUGUGUUUUGUCGUGGCCACAGUACCGAAUGUUCUGGUGCUGGGUUCACCGGGAGUCACGUCUAUCGAGAGUAUAGGAUUUCUAAAUCCGCCCACGGCAAAGUGCCUUUACAACAAAUCUUCUAAGACACUGGUAGCGCAAUGCUCCGACCUGAAAUUGAAGGAAAUCCCGUUUGAUUGGAAUGCGGACAUACAGCAUCACAUACAGACAUACAUAUAACCCCACGAACAACCCGAAGAGAAACACAGAGAUACACGAAACGACGUAUAUCCAGAAUGAUCGAGCUUUCUCGGUCUCCACCUCAUUCAGUGCUGUAGAUGUUUCGGUGCAAUUGUAAAGAUCGUCAGGCAGGUUCCUGUUGACGCAUCUCGAUGUUGUCGUCAUUUGCCGUCAGCUGCUUCUCCUGCUUGUGCACGCAAAACAAUCCCACGAACAACAAGAAGUGGAACAUCGAAAUACACGAAACGACGUACAUCCAAAAUGAUCGAGCUUUCUCGGUCUCCACCUCAUGCUGUAUAAUGGCCAAGCACUCGUCGAACAGCUCGUUCGUCCUAUCGCUGAAUCUCAAGUUGGCGCAGUCCUCAUUCAGUGUUGCCGGUGUUUUGGGGCAAUUGUAAAAAUUGUGAGGCUUUAUCUUGAUCUGCCGCAGCUUCACCCAGGCGAUGAAUAUCUGACAAUCGCAGCUGCCCGCUUUAAAACUUAUGCUAUUUCCGGUUAGAUCAAGCUCUUUCAACGAGCCAAAGGGCGCCAGAUCCUCGGUGCUGACCGAGGUGAUUUUGUUGUUGGACACGUUCAGUUCAAGAAGAGUCGGCUGGACGCCUAUGUUCGGUAUUACGGUUAGCUCGUUCUCGGUCAGCUGCAGCAGUCUUAUGGGCGAAGUGAUCUUCAUCUUGACCGCGGAAUCGGUAAGCAGAUUAUUGUUGAGAUAGAGCGUGCGAAGAUACGGCAUUUGAAAUAGACUUUUGGGCAGUGUGAGAAAACGGUUUUGCGCGAGAUCCAGCACCUCCAGGUAAUGCUGAUUGGCGAAGGCUGCCUCAUCGAUUUUACGGAUGAAAUUGCGAGCUAGAGAGAUGUAGGCCAAUUUCUUGUAAGGAUACAGACUGUAGUUCUCCAGUGUCCGCACUUCAUUCCUGUUAAAAUCCAGUAUCUAGAAAACGGAGGAGGAAUGUCAAAAAUAUCUACAGGGAUAAAACAUAUACAGAGUGGGCGAUUUUAAUCGAUCCCAUGCAAACAUCUUUUGAACAGUGCAUUUUAGAAUGCUUCAUACAAAAGUAUUUCAACUAAUAAACAAAAUUGAUACUAAUAUACAAUAAUAAUAUGUUGAUAUU